UACGGAGGGAGCUAGCGUUGUUCGGAAUUACUGGGCGUAAAGCGCACGUAGGCGGCUUUUAAGUCAGGGGUGAAAUCCCGGGGCUCAACCCCGGAACUGCCUUUGAAACUGGAGAGCUAGAAUCUUGGAGAGGCGAGUGGAAUUCCGAGUGUAGAGGUGAAAUUCGUAGAUAUUCGGAAGAACACCAGUGGCGAAGGCGACUCGCUGGACAAGUAUUGACGCUGAGGUGCGAAGCGUGGGGAGCAAACAGG
rnacentral:rRNA from 1 species